rnacentral:RNase_P_RNA from 1 species
GUGAUGGGUCGCCCCACCGCGGCGGCGCUUCGGCGGCGACGAGGAAAGUCCGGGCAACGCAGAGCACCCUGCUUCCUAACGGGAAGGACGGCGGCUGGGAACGGCCGCCGGACAGCCAGUGCCACAGAAAACUACCGCCCGGAUAGGGUUUUGGGGACUUAGGGUCUUAGGGGCUUGGCUUGUUGAACGACAACCAAGCUCCCAAGCCCCCAAGCCCCUAAGACCCUAACCAGGUAAGGGUGAAAAGGUGCGGUAAGAGCGCACCAGCGGCUGGGUGACCAGUCCGGCUGGGUAAACCUCAGGGGUUGAAAGACCAAAUAAGCUGGCACGUGCGCUCUUCGGGGCGUGCACCGGGCGGCUCGUCCGGCGCCAGCGGGUAGGUUGAUAGAGCCUUUCCGCGAGGACUGGCCUAGAUAAAUGGUGGGGCCACCUUCGCAAGAGGGCGGACAGAACCCGGCUUACAGACCCAUCACCCGG